rnacentral:rRNA from 1 species
UACGAAGGGUGCAAACGUUGCUCGGAAUUAUUGGGCGUAAAGCGCACGUAGGCGGCUUGGCAAGUCGGAUGUGAAAUCCCUCGGCUCAACCAAGGAAGUGCAUCCGAAAACUGCUGAGCUUGAGUACUUAAAGAGGAUCGCGGAAUUCCCGGUGUAGAGGUGAAAAUUCGUAGAUAUCGGGGAGGAACACCGGUGGGCGAAAGGGCGGGCUCACUG